AUUGAACGCUGGCGGCAGGCCUAACACAUGCAAGUCGAGCGGAUGACGGGAGCCUGCUCCUUGAUUCAGCGGCGGACGGGUGAGUAAUGCCUAGGAAUCUGCCUGGUAGUGGGGGACAACGUUUCGAAAGGAACGCUAACACCGCAUACGUCCUGCGGGAGAAAGCAGGGGACCUUCGGGCCUUGCGCUAUCAGAUGAGCCUAGGUCGGAUUAGCCAGUUGGUGGGGUAAUGGCUCACCAAGGCGACGAUCCGUAACUGGUCUGAGAGGAUGAUCAGUCACACUGGAACUGGGACACGGGCCAGACUCCUACGGGAGGCAGCAGUGGGGAAUAUUGGACAAUGGGCGAAAGCCUGAUCCAGCCAUGCCGCGUGUGUGAAGAAGGUCUUCGGAUUGUAAAGCACUUUAAGUUGGGAGGAAGGGCAGUAAGCUAAUACCUUGCUGUUUUGACGUUACCGACAGAAUAAGCACCGGCUAACUCUGUGCCAGCCGCCGCCGUAA
rnacentral:rRNA from 1 species